rnacentral:rRNA from 1 species
CCUACGGGUGGCAGCAGUGGGGAAUAUUGCGCAAUGGGCGAAAGCCUGACGCAGCGACGCCGCGUGAGGGAUGAAGGUCUUCGGAUCGUAAACCUCUGUCAGCAGGGAAGAACGGUCACUGUGCUAAUCAGCAGUGAAUUGACGGUACCUGCAAAGGAAGCACCGGCUAACUCCGUGCCAGCAGCCGCGGUAAUACGGAGGGUGCGAGCGUUAAUCGGAAUUACUGGGCGUAAAGCGCUCGUAGGCGGUAUGUCAAGUCAAGGGUGAAAUCCCCGCGCUCAACGUGGGAACUGCCUUUGACACUGGCAAACUGGAGUGUGUGAGAGGAUAGUGGAAUUCCAGGUGUAGGAGUGAAAUGCGUAGAUAUCUGGAGGAACAUCAGUGGCGAAGGCGACUAUCUGGCACAUAACUGACGCUGAGGAGCGAAAGCGUGGGUAGCAAACAGGAUUAGAUACCCGGGUAGUC